rnacentral:lncRNA from 1 species
GCACCCGGAUAGUGUUCCUCAACCAUCCCUAACACCAGUUUCAGGUCUACAGGCUAGAUGUAUUGAGUGAUAGAAUAGGCUUCUCCUCAAGUGUCAGCAUGCAAAGAAAGAAGAGUCACUAAAACAUUAAAUGACAUCAUUGAUGUUAAGGUGUGUAAACACUGUGGGCUUUUUCUGUGGGUAGGAAUGGCAGAGCGGUCUGAUUUAACCAUCACUAUAUCCCACUAACAGAGCUCUUGCUUGAGUCACAGGUUGUUUUACACUUUCUACUCUGUACUCUUUCAGCUUCCUCU